GACGGAAGGUGCAAGCGUUGCUCGGAAUCACUGGGCGUAAAGGGUGCGUAGGCGGCUUGGUAAGUUGGGUAUGAAAGCCCCGGGCUCAGCCCGGGAAGGGCACUCGAAACUGCCGAGCUAGAGUGCCGGAGGGGAGAGUGGAAUUCCUGGUGUAGCGGUGAAAUGCGUAGAUAUCGGGAGGAACACCUGUGGCGAAGGCGGCCGCCUGGUUGGAUACUGACGCUGAGACGCGAAAGCGUGGGGAGCAAACAGG
rnacentral:rRNA from 1 species